AAUGCUAUGUCUGAUAUCUUAUGACAGUCCUUGUAGAUUUUGUGUUGAUGUAAGUAUUGUACUAAACUCAUCUUUACGAUUAAAUACGGAGUUGCUAAGGGUCCUAUAGGUUGGAGAGACUAGUAUCCUAUUUUGUCAAGAUAGUAACUUCUUGUUCUAAAGUUUACUCUAUUACUUGUGUUCUAAAAUUUACCUUGUUUUACUAAAUUAUGUUGUUACUAAAUUUUUGCACUAUUGUACUAAAAUUUGCCUUGCUACUGUUGUACUAAAAUCUAACCAUUGAUUAGGAAGGAAGAGAUUAAGGGAGCAAAAAUAAUGAGGAAGGAGCGCUCAGAAGAAGUUACUAAAAAUCCACUUAAGGUGUGACCUUCACGUAACUCACAAAUCAUAAUCAGAUAUUCAUGAUAAUGGCACCAGACACAUGACAUCCAUUCGUAUAACUAUAUAUAGUAUAUUGUACUUGAUGCUAUUAUUGUUCCUUUUUAACAUGAUGCUUAUAUUGUUCCUUUUUAAAUUGAUGCUUAUAUUGUUUCUUUGAGCAUAAAGUAUAUAUUUAAAUUCUUGAAACCUUGCAUCUAUUUGUUCAGGAGAACUGCAGAUCUUUCUAUGAAAAUGAAGGUUGUGUUGUAUGCAGUACAUGUUUUUUUUCAAAGGAAGUACCUGAUAUCUUACAUUCUAUGUUUGCUUCAAGUUUACUUGAACUCAAUUGACAUCUAGCAGAUUUCUUCAUAAUAAAACAAGGAUCAAAAGUGUGUAAGAUGUAGGAUAUUGCUCCACUUUUCCGUCUGCAAUGUUACUAAUGUGAUAGCCUUCAACAUUUGUAUGUUGCUCCUCUACAUUUUUGUGCUCUGUUAACCUGAUUUUCUCUAUCGUAAAUUACUCAUUUCAUUAUUUGUUUUUGUAGAUUGCUGAGAUAAAUGGAGGAUGCAUGGCUCAGAUGUUGAUUGCAAGGCAUAGAAUGGGGAUAAUUAGAAUGUCAUUUUCAGGAAAAUGUUUGAAACAUUAUAGUUGAUUGGAAGGUCGAGAAUUUUGCUACUAGUAGAUAGCUCACAUCUUGUAAUGUUUGGAUCGUGCUCGGUGUAAUGCAACAUAGUUGAUUUAAUAUAUGCGAUCUUUCCGUUUAUUGUACUAUGCCUCCUAUACACUAUGUAUUGAACUAAUAAUUGUGGAUGGCAAUGUAUAAAAUAUCAUCAAUUAUUCAUGCUAUGUACCGAAGC
rnacentral:lncRNA from 1 species